UGUAUGUGCCUCGCGGCCUAUCAGCUAGUUGGUGAGGUAACGGCUCACCAAGGCGACGACGGGUAGCCGGCCUGAGAGGGCGACCGGCCACACUGGGACUGAGACACGGCCCAGACUCCUACGGGAGGCAGCAGUGGGGAAUAUUGCACAAUGGGCGAAAGCCUGAUGCAGCGACGCCGCGUGAGGGAUGACGGCCUUCGGGUUGUAAACCUCUUUCAGCAGGGAAGAAGCGAAAGUGAUCGUACGCUGCAGAUUAAGGUUGAGCA
rnacentral:rRNA from 1 species